GACGAACGCUGGCGGCGAGCUUAACACAUGCAAGUCGAACGAAGUGGCGAACGGGUGAGUAACGCGUAAUCAACCUGCCCUUCAGAGGGGGACAACAGUUGGAAACGACUACUACUACAGCAUACUGAAGGCGGGGAGUGCGUCUGCUUAGCUAGUUGGAGGGGUAACGGCACACCAAGGCGAUGAUCAGUAGCCGGUGUGAGAGGAUGAACGGCCACAUUGGGACUGAGAACCGGCCCAGACUCCUACGGGAGGCAGCCUGGGGGAAUCUUCCGCAAUGGACGAAAGUCUGACGGAGCAACGCCGCGGGAGUGAUGACGGCCUUCGGGUUGUAAAGCUCUGUUAAUCGGGACGCGGUACCGGAAUAGAAAGCCACGGCUAACUACGUGCCAGCAGCCGCGGUAAUUC
rnacentral:rRNA from 1 species